CAAGUCUGGUGCCAGCAGCCGCGGUAAUUCCAGCUCCAAUAGCGUAUAUUAAAGUUGUUGCAGUUAAAAAGCUCGUAGUUGAAUUUCGGGAUCAAUACGUCGGUCGUGCUUUCGGGUACGUACUGGCGUCAUUGGUUUCUCCUUUCUGACGAACCAUGAUGUCAUUAAUUUGGUGUUAUGGGGAGUUAGGACUGUUACUUUGAAAAAAUUAGAGUGUUUAAAGCAGGCAUUAGCUUGAAUACAUUAGCAUGGAAUAAUGAAAUAGGACGUUCGAUCCUAUUUUGUUGGUUUCUAGGAUCAACGUAAUGAUUAAUAGGGAUAGUUGGGGGCAUUAGUAUUCAAUUGUCAGAGGUGAAAUUCUUGGAUUUAUUGAAGACUAACUACUGCGAAAGCAUUUGCCAAGGAUGUUUUCAUUAAUCAAGAACGAAAGUUAGGGGAUCGAAGACGAUCAGAUACCGUCGUAGUCUUGACCAUAAACUAUGCCGACUAGGG
rnacentral:rRNA from 1 species